UACGUAGGGUGCGAGCGUUAAUCGGAAUUACUGGGCGUAAAGCGUGCGCAGGCGGUUUUGUAAGCCAGAUGUGAAAUCCCCGGGCUUAACCUGGGAACUGCAUUUGUGACUGCAUAGCUAGAGUACGGUAGAGGGGGAUGGAAUUCCGCGUGUAGCAGUGAAAUGCGUAGAUAUGACGGAGGAACACCGAUGGCGAAGGCAAUCCCCCUGGACCUGUACUGACGCUCAUGCACGAAAGCGUGGGGAGCAAACAGG
rnacentral:rRNA from 1 species